ensembl:snRNA U6 U6 spliceosomal RNA
AUGCUUUAGCAGCACAUGUACUAAAAUUGGAAUGAUACAACAAAGAUUAGCAUGGCCCCUGCACAAGGAUGACACACACAUUUGCAAAGUGGUCUGUAUUAAA